AAACAGUGUACACACACACCCAACAGGACCGGAGCUUCUGAUGUUUACCAGGGCUGCCAGGAUUUGUAGUCAACCGCAGAUUGUUACGAUCGCAGUAUCCAGACGUCCUGUAGCAAACAUGACUCUCAGCAACCUAUUGUCUCGUACUGUCAGUAAAGUCGGGAGAAGGUCUAUGUUCACAGCCUCCAAACCAGACACGGUCCAUCCCAACUGGCUGCGGGUGGGACUCUCCUUCGGGACGGCUGCUCUCCUCUGGGGCCUG